CCUCCACGUUGCUGAGAGCAAGGAAAACAGCUGAGGAGCGGCAAUCCACUCUGCCGCCCCGAUCAGCUGGGCUUUGGAAGCAGACAUAUAGGAGAUCAAAAAAAAUCCUCCUUUGUCCUAUCCACACCAGCCCUGUGAGAUGCUGGGGGUGGGCGAAAGAGAUGAAUCCAAAGUGAUUUUUUGGUCCAGGAAGUCUUUUCUGACCUUGACUACUGAAAUCUGAAGCAAUAAAAUACACGACAAAGAGGAAGAGCCACGUCCUCAAGACGAAGAUGAGGUCAAUAUAUAUUUGGACAGAUAUUCUAACUAAUUCCACUCCACCACUGAUGUCCAAGUUCCCAGGAACUGUACAGAGUCUAAGAGGGUUAGAAGAUAAAGGAUGCUUGCUUCUUUAUUGCAAAGAUAAAUAACUUAAUUAGCAUGAAACGCUUUCCAUCCGGUUUGACCUUAGGGAUAAAUUGCAGAAUGAACAGGGGCUUUGUGGAUUUCAGACUGGAAUUGAGUAACAAUCUUGGUCCGUAUUGAAAUGAACAGGCAAUGCAAUAAUGAAUUACAGUAAGAAACAUAGACUAGGGAAGAACGGUUGGCUCUUGGGUGAUCCUGGAUGACUCCCUCACCCUCAGCUCAACCUUCUCAAGAUCAUUCCUGGGAAGGUAAAAUUGUGGGAGGAUUUUAUUUUAUUUAUUAUUUAUUUUUCAUAUUUUUAUACCGCCCUAUCUCCCUAGGGACUCAGGGCGGUUCACAACCAGAUAAAAAAUAUACAUAUAAAUACAAAUAAAACAUCCAUUAAAAAACUUAUUAUAAUUGGCCGAAUAAUUAAAAUGAUAAUAAAAAUAAUAAAAUCCCCAUUAAAACCAAUUCAAAUUUAAAAUCUAGUCCAGUUGAAAUUGCUUUGAGCUUUCAGAGGAAAAAAAAUAAGGCUUUGUUAUGCCACAAAUACAGGUAGUCCUCAACUUUCAACAGUUCAUUUAAUGACUGUUCGAAGGUAUAACAGAACUGAAAAAAAUGACUUAUGGCUACUUUUCAUACUUAUGACCAUUGCAGCCUGCAUGUGGUUAUGUGAUCACAAUUCAGACACUUGCCAACUGACUCCUAUUUAUGAUGUAAUGUCAUGUCAUCCCCUUCUGACAAGCAAAGUCAAUGGGAAAGCCUGUGAUUCACUUAACAAAUGUGGCAAGAAAGGUCAUAAAAUGGGGCAAAAUUCAAAUGUCUCACUUAGCAGCAGAAAUAUUUGGCUCCAUUGUGGUUGCAAAUCGAAGACCUGGGAAUGUCACCUGCAGAUCAGUGAAUAAAUAAAAUCAUCUGAUGUGAAAGAUGGUCUUAUGAGAUUUUCUAUUACUCUCCAUCUAUUGAACUCAAUUGUAUAUUAUUUAUAGUUUUCAAAACGCCGCCUAUAAU